UACGUAGGGUGCGAGCGUUGUCCGGAAUUACUGGGCGUAAAGGGCGCGUAGGCGGCCAGCGCAAGUCAGUUGUGAAAUCUCCGGGCUUAACCCGGAAAGGUCAGCCGAUACUGCGGGGCUAGAGUGCAGAAGGGGCAACUGGAAUUCUCGGUGUAGCGGUGAAAUGCGUAGAUAUCGAGAGGAACACCUGCGGCGAAGGCGGGUUGCUGGGCUGACACUGACGCUGAUGCGCGAAAGCUAGGGGAGCGAACGGG
rnacentral:rRNA from 1 species